rnacentral:rRNA from 1 species
CACAAGCGGCGGAGCAUGUGGCUUAAUUCGACGCAACGCGAAGAACCUUACCAAGGCUUGACAUACACCGGAAAGCAUUAGAGAUAGUGCCCCCCUUGUGGUCGGUGUACAGGUGGUGCAUGGCUGUCGUCAGCUCGUGUCGUGAGAUGUUGGGUUAAGUCCCGCAACGAGCGCAACCCUUGUCCCGUGUUGCCAGCAGGCCCUUGUGGUGCUGGGGACUCACGGGAGACCGCCGGGGUCAACUCGGAGGAAGGUGGGGACGACGUCAAGUCAUCAUGCCCCUUAUGUCUUGGGCUGCACACGUGCUACAAUGGCCGGUACAAUGAGCUGCGAUACCGUGAGGUGGAGCGAAUCUCAAAAAGCCGGUCUCAGUUCG